rnacentral:rRNA from 1 species
CCUACGGGCGGCAGCAGUGAGGAAUAUUGGUCAAUGGGCGAGAGCCUGAACCAGCCAAGUCGCGUGAGGGAGUACUGCCCUAUGGGUUGUAAACCUCUUUUGUCGGGGAGCAAAAGCCGGACGUGUCCGGCUGUGAGAGUACCCGAAGAAAAAGCAUCGGCUAACUCCGGGCCAGCACCCGCGGUAAUACGGAGGAUGCGAGCGUUAUCCGGAUUUAUUGGGGUUAAGGGGUGCGCAGGCGGAUUUUUAAGUCAGCGGUCAAAUCGUGGGGCUCAACCCCAUCCAGCCGUUGAAACUGGGGAUCUAGAGUGUGCGAGAGGGAUGCGGAAUGCGUGGUGUAGCGGUGAAAGGCAUAGAGAUCACGCAGAACCCCGAUUGCGAAGGCAGCAUACCGGUGCACAACUGACGCUCAGGCACGAAAGCGUGGGUAUCGAACAGGAUUAGAUACCCGAGUAGUC